CCCAGCAGUGUCAUUUGAGAACCAGACGCAGGCCUGCGAAGUGGAGGCCUUCACCAGACUUUUCCCGUGAUGCCGAGAUGCUCUCGGGGUCUCUGUGGAAGGUGCGGAGGAUGGAGUCUCCAGCGGGGACAGGACUGGUAGCAGCAAGAGGGAUGAAGAAGCAAGACUGAUGAAGGGAUGACUCGAUCGCAGCAGGUAAACCACUUCACAGGGAGAUGCUACCGGGUGCUUUAACCUCGCAGAAGGCAGGCAGGACAGGAACCAACAGCAGGAACUGAAAGCUAAAUGAAUUAGAAAUAAAGCCACCUCCAACUGGAGGUGAGGCACGUGUGUCGUUAGCAGUGGUGGAGUCUCCUUGUCUUUUUGUCCUUGCACCACGACUGCACGUGGCUUUUGGGAAGACCCAUUUAGGUGAUCGGGCUCAAAGGAAGUGGAUGAAGCCCUCCAGCCUGUUUUACAAUCCUUUGGCCCUUUCCAGUCCAGGAGCCUAUGAACUAUCUGACCGUCGGAGGCCUGAGUGUUGGGGAUUUUCAUUAAUUAUUCCCUGUUGUUUCUGCAGGAAACACUCGUUACCUUACCAUUUGGCCAGGCGCACCAUUACUAAUCAGCCCACAAAGAUGCAUAUUGCAUUUAUAAAAUUAACACAGUUGUCUUGAAAUAUUCCUUAACAUCUGUCAAGCAAGCCACAUGACUAGCUGCUGCCAUGUGUGACUGUCUCUCUCUCUCCAAGGAGAAAAUGAUGUGACUGUCUAUUAACUUAAUGUGUUAUGGAUGCAUUUUACAUCCCGUGCACUUUGUGCGUGAGCGUGUUCACGUGGUGAAGGCGAGGCUACAGAAGUGCUCCCUCCCUCUUGGGCUCGAAGGUGGUCACGCUGAAGACAGUUCUUCACUCCAUUAUCUUUUACCAGCCACAGUCGAAGAUCUGUCUCUUAAACAAACAAGCUUUAUCUUUGCCAGGGACAGCUCAGUUGUGCCCCAGGAGUGGAGCUGUUGACUACAGUCGUCAUCCUGGAGCUGAAGGCAAAACCGAGCCCCUGGAGCACGUUGGAGAUAAGGGCAGAGAGCCUGCAUCCGGCUUGCUUUAGCAUGAGAAGCCAGACGAACGGCGCUAUAUAAGUAUAUGAUAUUAUUAGAUGUUAACUAGUGAGAUGGGGUCUCUCUUCGAGGACGAGAUACAGACUGGCAGCUGCUUCCUACCAAAUUGUGGCUUUUAGGAUAAUUAAAUAAUCUCCGUUUAACAGAUGACAACGUUUUGUGCAGGGACUGACUGUAUCCUCCCAAGAUUAGUCUGAACCAAUGGAACUGGACCCGGUGUGAUAAUCACACACACACACACACGUGUCACUAAAGUGAAGAAAGCUUUUGUCAGAGUUUACAACCACUUGGCAGCAAAAGUUUUUAAUUGGACACACCAUUUUGCAUCUGUGGGUCCGUCUGUCCACUCCACAUUAAAAUGAGUGCAGCAGAAAAGCAAGGGCCCGUUGAAAUUUAAACACAUGGGUGUCUUUGCCACUCUGCCAGGCAUUAUGCAUCGUCAAUGAUCUUCCUCCCGUGCACCUCGCUCUCCUUCUCACAGAAAUCCUGAGGAAGAUAGACCUGGCCACGAAGAUCUGGAGUCCUCCAUCCGGAGGCAGGCACGGUACUCAUGCAAGAAGAAGAGGGACCUUGCAGCUACUUGCCAAUGUUGGCCUUUUUUACCAGGCCCUCCAACAUGAGCCACCUAAAUUCUGCCCAGCAGCAUUGUCUGGGUCCCCGUGAAGUGAAGGCCAUCACCAGACGCUCCCCGCGAUGCACAGAUGUGCUAAGACAGCGCCGUCCCUUCCACAGCAAGGAGCGAUUUGCGGUGCACGAGGUUUAGCUAGCUGUGAAGCCCCCGGUCAUAGAAAAGGAGAAGCACUCACCUGGGGAGAUCUGUCCCCCACGAGCCAGGGCCAAACUUUUGCCCGGGGUGCAUCUGCUCAUGGCAUUGGCACUGCGUGCCACAGGAUGGUUGGAGGAGCUGGACCCACAGGUUCGCACCUUGAGCACUUCUUCAUUACCAGAAGGUUUCGAAGGUGGUCACCCCAUCUUCUUUCACCCCUGAAGAACAGGAUGUUUCCUGGCUGUUUGAUUUCUGAAGGCCUGGAGGAGCUUCCUUCCAGGGGCGGAAGGUAUAUCUGACACUCGCACCGAACGCAAAUAAAACGUAGCCGCCCCGGAGCCCAACAAAAGUGAACUAAAGAGACGUUUGUUCUGAAACUUGUGAACGCUCGCUCUUCAGCGACUGCGACCAAAGCGCCCGUUGUGUCUGCUGUGUUAAAUACACCUCCCUUGGCUUGCCAGCCAUCCCUCACCUCUUAUCAAACAUGUGUCAAAAGGCUUCUCCUCCAUCAGACAGAAAGCUCUUUUAGAAAUGAGAGGGGGGGAAAAGGCCAUUUAUUUUAUUAUUUAUUAGGAAGAAGUUUUAUCUGAUCCGGGGUCUGGCUUGAAAGGGGCACGGAGGAACCGGGGUGCGGAUGAGGACGUGCCUCCAGGCUUGGAAGGUGGAUGGUGAUAUUUUUCGGCGAGCCUAAAGAGAGCUGGAGUGAACCCCUUUGAUGUGUAUGAAACCGGGGUGCUGGCCGUGCAGCACGCGGGCUGCAAUCAUCUGGGAAACGUUAGCCAGCCUUUCCUGGGCCAAUUGCACCCACCUGGAACCGGCAAGUCCUAAUCAGCAGCAGCAAUCGUGCGGAGAUCAAGGCCCCGUUGAGUGAGACACAAAGUGAUGGGACAGCCUCUGCCCCAAAGAGCCUGCAAUCUGAUGGGCAAGGCGUAGGUAAAGGCUGCACCAGCCUUGCUGUUCUACAUUGUGGGGACCGAGGCACGGAGAAGGCUGCAAUGGCCUUGAUGUCACACACACAAUCACUGCCAGACCCAGGACGUGACCCCGCACCCCUGGAGCCCUGCACCUCUCUGAGGUUUCCUGCAGUUUGCAAGGAGGUUGCACAGCCGCACACUUCCAGGCAGGGCGCCUCUGGGGUGCAAAUCAGGCACAGACCUUCGCGCCCCCUGCAAAGGGAGAGGAGCUGGCAGGUUUCUGCAGCCGUGCAUGGAAUCAGUGCAAGAGAUGCCAGCUCAGGCAGAGGAUCCGGUGAGGAGGAGAGAACCUUAGCCCUCCAUCACGCCAGCCCAGCAAUCACAGCGAUGAGCCAAGUAUCUCUGGACAGUCUUUAAUUUAUUUCCCGGCGCACACGGACACUGCUGAGAGACUUGAUGGCACCAGCUUAAACAUAAUAAAUUACUCAAGUACCAGAGAUUAGUUAAUAAAGUGUCAAGCGCCCGUAAAGUGCUGCUUUGUCAAAGAUACAAA